AUUGAACGCUGGCGGCAGGCCUAACACAUGCAAGUCGAGCGGAUGAGAGGAGCUUGCUCCUGGAUUCAGCGGCGGACGGGUGGAGUAAUGCCUAGGAAUCUGCCUGGUAGUGGGGGACAACGUUUCGAAAGGAACGCUAAUACCGCAUACGUCCUACGGGAGAAAGCAGGGGACCUUCGGGCCUUGCGCUAUCAGAUGAG
rnacentral:rRNA from 1 species